CAUGGACCAGAAACGGGAAAGAAGUUCCGCCAGUAAGCACAGUACGGAUUAUCGGGGAACUUGUGAGAAAGGACCGUGAAGAAAGGCCCUUCUCUCAUCAAAAGUUCACGACAGCCAAGAUGUCUGCGAACUGCACAGUGAAUUUCAUUUCAUUUGUUUUCCAUUCUUACAAGCUGCAUGGGAGCGAGGGCUGCACGGGAGCGAGAGUACCGCCCACACAUUCCAGAGGGAAACAAUAACCUUUAUGGGUUACAUCUGCU
rnacentral:lncRNA from 1 species